UACGUAGGGUGCGAGCGUUAAUCGGAAUUACUGGGCGUAAAGGGUUCGUAGGUGGCUUGCUAAGUCAGACGUGAAAUCCCUCAGCUUAACUGGGGAACUGCGUCUGAGACUGGCAAGCUUGAGUGCAGGAGAGGAAUGCGGAAUUCCAGGUGUAGCGGUGAAAUGCGUAGAUAUCUGGAGGAACACCGGUGGCGAAGGCGGCGUUCUGGACUGCAACUGACACUGAGGAACGAAAGCCAGGGGAGCAAACGGG
rnacentral:rRNA from 1 species